rnacentral:lncRNA from 1 species
CUGUCUCUACCGCUGAAGCUAGAUCUCUCUCUGUAGGUGGUAUAGUGGGCACGGGGGCUGCGUCCUCAACCGAGCGGCUAACGCUAUCGGUUGUUUACUUUGAACCCGACAACCCAAGGCCCAGGCUAGAAGACAUCCUACACAACACAAAGUAUCAGUGAUGGAAGACAACUAACUACUCAAGCUAGAAUUGGUACUCAAUCAUAUUGAAUUAACUUACCUCACGGAUCAUUG